AGAUUCCGGAGAUGUUUGCAGGACAAAGGAGCUUGUCUGGGCGAAGAAAAGUUUUCCCUCUUGUGAGCGCGGAGUGAGGAAGUCACGUACUUCACCACAGCAUUUAACGAGCAAUUGAGUGUUUCUACUUCAGAUAAACAAGGUGUGUUUCUGUGACCCAGGAUGUCUACCAAGCGCGGCGUUAGGCCUGAUGAAGGCCUGAUGAUGAUGCAGGAGCUGGACGACCGUCUGAAAGAGCAGACUGACAAACUGGAGCAUGUUCGCCUUGCUGCAGUUGAACUGAAGGACAGCUUGUCUGGGAACAACAGUGAUCUGUCCCAGUCUAUCGCUGACCAUCUGGAAUGGUUGAAUCACUUGUCAGAGCGAUUAGAGACUCUUCACAUGAACACAGCUGUUUUUGUUCAGAUGAAUCCUAAGCCUCGUGCAUGGGCAGGGAAGCAGGGUUCCAAACAUGGCGGAUACCGAUUGGGACGCUUCCAGCAGGCUGAGGACGCCCAGUCGGAGUUUGGCUGGUCUCCCAUCCGCACACGACGAAACAGUGAUGCUGCCUCUGAAAUGUCUUGUAACUGGUGACCUGGUCGACUGUGGCCAAUAGAUCAACUGUGGUUGCAAUUUAAUGCUAUCACCAUUGCUCAGAGACGUGGGGAGGAUGUUGAGACAACCAAGAAAUGGUCUGCAGGGCAGAACAAACAGCAUCUUGUCACAAAGAACACAGCCAAACUGGACCGGGAAACAGAGGAGCUACACCAUGAAAGGGUCCCCCUAGAGGUGGGCAAGGUCAUUCAGCUAGGCAGACAGGAGAAAGGCAUGACCCAGAAAGACCUGGCCACU